GAACUCGGUGAGGCUGAGACGCCAUGAGGAGGGAGCGGAGGAGGAGUGGCGGCGGCGGGGGUCGUCCAUGGAGGAAGAAGGAACGUCGUCGGGGACAGGAGAGAGGAGCUCGCGUCGGGAUUCGCCAAUGGGGACGCCCAGUCGGUUUCCAGAAACCAGCACGGCACUACCAGUCCGCGGAACUCACUCGUUCGUUUGGAUGAUGUGAGGCCCAAACUCUCAUCUUUCUCUUUCCGUCCUUCCUUCUUAUAUAUCUUUAGGAUAACUGCACUUUGUGAUGGCCAAAAGAAGCAAACCAUAUAAUAUAAUUAUAAAUAUAAUAAUAAUAUAUUGUUAAUCUCUC